rnacentral:lncRNA from 1 species
ACUGCUGCACAUAUAUGAAUUUUAAUCAACCACUGACACACUUACAUGAAGUGAAGCAAAUGAUCAGAUUUGACAAAUGGGAUUUUAGCCUGGAAAGGAUUUCAGGUUCGUAUUAAUAUUCAGUUCCUCUCUAGGACUCUUUAUAUCAAUGAUUUCAGCACUUGUAUGGCGAUCUUGAGCCUACAUGAUUAUCUCCUAUAGCCCAAAUGGGGAGCCUAUUGUGCUCAGCAUAUAAUAAAAAAACAGCUGCUGUUUCUGAUGUCUCAGGCAGAGUGAACAAAUAGCUGGUGGAUGAGGAUGAGGUACAUCUGAACUAUGCUCAGUAAGGUAAGGGGCACUGUUGAUAUAGCAGUUGACUAGCUGUUGGAGCCACAUAAUUGGGGUCAGUUUCACAGACGCAGCACAUUUCUGUCUCUGACUGAAUCCUCACAAUUUGGAUCACAUGUUUUUAAAAGUUAUGCCUGGUUUGUCAGCUAAUGCAUUUUCCCCUCUUUUCCCUCUGCAUUCCUGAAUCACUCCUGGACCAAGCUCCCCUCAGGUUAUUUCCUGGCCUCCCUUCCGUGACCUAUGACCGAUGAUGACCUUUAGCUAGAGAAUGUGACAUUUUGUUCUCCUCUGGCUGACAUGUGAUGCCCUCAUUAUUCAAAGGGGCUUAGGGGAGAAGCUUCCUUCUAAGACAAAGUACAGGGUGAAUGAAAGAAGAAGCAGAACUUUGCAGGUGCUGGAUGAACUCCAGGGAUCUCAGAGAGCACUGGCAGUUUCCAUCUUCUCUUCUUCCACCCAACGGACACCACAGUGCUGUUUGGACUGGAGUGGAGAGGUGUAGACUGGAUUUCAUCCUGAUGUACAGCUAAGGCAAGAAGCCAGCUCCAUGUCCCACAAUUUAGACAUAUCUUGUCAAUCCAUUCAGCAAGUGAAUGUCUUUUAAAUAACCACAUACCCAGCCCAGCUGGCUGUGAGUCAGUGGCAAAAUAAUUAAUAAAGUUCCAAAUAAAAACA